CUAUGCAACGCGUGAAGUCUCCAAAUCAUAUAUCAAACACUUUGUAAGCACAUAUGAUCCAAUUGUUACCUAGUUGAAAUGGCAUUUCUCUUCUACUUGUUUCAGGUUUUAUCCAUACCAUUAUGCUUCAUUGAUCUCUGAUCUCAAGGAUGAAGAAUGUUGCUAACUGGGAAAUAACCCUUUUUUUUUUGGGAGAGCCAUUUAAACCCUUUGAUAAGCUGAUGGCAAUCCUACCUGCUUCUAGUGAGCGAAAUGCAGUUCCAAUGCUUUGCCGGAAGAAUAUAGGAAGUUGAUGACUGACUCAUCAUCACCAAUAUAGAAAAUUUUCACUUAGAUUUUGAGAUUGACAUGAAUGGGUAUUGCCAAAUUGCCGUUCAUUGAUAAGAGAAAAUUGCUUGCCAAACAAGGAAACUUGAAAGCUCUUUAACGGUCUGAAUUUCAUUGUUCUAAAAAGUUGUUUGUUGAUUCUGCUCUUUUACGUGUCAGCCCUUUAGGACACCCGUGGAAAAUGCACCAGGUGACCAUGAAAACUACAAUACUAGGGAAGUUGUGAGUAGCAGAAUUUCUUUUAGAAGAAAUAUUGACUUGAGAGUUAACAAUUUUUUGCAUAUUAGGAUAGUAACGUUUCUUUUGAAUUUCUCCAAUAUAUCCAUUUGACCAUUUGAGAGCACCAUGUACAUCAAGGUGAUAGCAAGCAUAAUGUCAUGAUGAUGUAUUGAGGCCAUCUUGUGCAUCAAAACCUAGUACAACGUAUUAGUUUUCUCUAUGAUUUGGAUUCCAUCACCGCUACAUUUUGUUUUUUUAAAGUUGCUGGAGGAAGAGCAGGUCCAAAAUAGUGUAAUGCUAGAUUUGCUGUAUGAUUAUCAGCUUAUCCUAUGGCUCUUACGAUGAUGAUGCCUAUUUGUUACCUCCAUUACAAAGAAUUCCUUGGAUGAGAGACACAAUUACAGCAAAUGGCAUGGUCUUGCGUGAGAAGGUAUGAUCUCCGGAUGCUUGUAGUUUAUCAAUUUUUUAGUAGAGCAGAGGAGUCGAGCGGAAGCUGCUUUUUAUCAUAGUCUGGGAAGUGCUAGAAAUUGUUGGAGCGGUAAAUUGGGGACACUCCUUAUGUUGCUUCUGGAAAGAUGAUGGAGCAGUGCUCUAUGUAAAACUAUAAUUUCAUGCUUAUGAAAUAUCUUUGCAGUAGGCAUUGGAUCCAAGGAAUUUGACUUGCCAGUUUCUGACUAUGGAAGUUCAGGGACGUUCCCACGUUGUUUCUACAAUGAGUUUUCUUACCAUUAGUAUUUUUCACUGACUUAAGUAAUGAAUAUCCAUUUCUUGUGAUGUGUCACUAAUAUUGCAGAUCUUAAAAAUUAUAGAUGUUAAACCAUUCCCUACACUGUGGCAUGAAAAUAAUGGUCAGCGCCAGCAAGGAAGAGAAAUGUAAGAAAGGCCAGCUGGACCGUCUGCUCACGAAGGGGCUUCAGUGUUAACCCAAACUAUUAUUAUUAUUAUGGGCAUUACAAUAACCGGCAAGACCUAAAGAGUAAUCCUAGAUUUCCUCCAUCAUCGAAUGGCGUGCCAGGCAACAGGCACAACUUCAAGAUUCGGUACAAAUUACAAAUUACAAUACUCUGAACAGUACCAGGACACAAGGACUAUGAUGUUUAUUUGACUGUGGAAGAAAAUGUCAGAAGCAGACCAACCUGCAGUGAUAUUGCAGCGCAUGUCAAAUACAGGAAAUAAUACAAGUUUGCAGCUCCAGGUUUAGCAGAACGUAGGUCCAUUUCUAUCACCUCCUACCAAAUGAAUUGGUAAGGCUGCAAGAGAUGCUGAGAAGCACUUCAGACAAGAAAGAGGUUGCAAAUGAUCAGAAGCAGAUGAAGCAUGCUUAUCAGGUUGAGGUAUAGGUGGAUCAGGAAACAUUCAAAUCAUGUUGCUCGAGAAAUAUCUGACUUUAAUCAGCACUAACAUUGUGGAUUUUGUUUAUUUCCAUCGGCAUUGUUUUCAUACGGCAGGUAUAAGUUUAAUUUGGGAGAGACUGAAAAAUCACAUGCUCAUAUGAGUGUCAGUUUUUUAAUGAUUAUGCAUGAGAAUGUUUAUAUUUAAUAGAAAAAAAUAUUUUCAUCCAUUCCAUGCUUAAUCAAUGUCUUAAAAGCCAAUACUCAUAUGAGCUUCUUUUUUAGGCUAUAUUUCAAGGGAAGGAUUUUGAUUGAGAUCUGCAAUGUGGGAAGGGAUAGUCUUGGGGGUCUCGAGCUUACUGAAUGUUUUACUUUAGUUUUGAUUUUUACG